rnacentral:rRNA from 1 species
CGCAAAACAAAGGGAAGCAAAGCCGCGAGGCGGAGCGAAUCCCCAAAAGGCGUCUCAGUUCGGAUUGCAGGCUGCAACUCGCCUGUAUGAAGUCGGAAUUGCUAGUAAUCGUGGAUCAGCAUGCCACGGUGAAUACGUUCCCGGGCCUUGUACACACCGCCCGUCACACCAUGAGAGCCGGGAACACCCGAAGUCCGUAGUCUAACCUAUAUGGAGGACGCGGCCGAAGGUGGGUUUGGUAAUUGGGGUGAAGUCGUAACAAGGUACC